CCAUCCCUGUCCGUGUGUCUGUCCCUGUGUCCCCAUCAGUGUCCCCAUUGGUGUCCCACUCACGCAGCCCGGUGGACUCCAUGCGCGACGCCGUGUUCACCGUGUCCCUGUGUCCAUGUCCGUGUGUCCCCAUCCCUGUCCGUGUGUCCCCAGCCGUGUCCGUGUGUCUGUCCAUGUCCCCAUCAGUGUCCCCAUUGGUGUCCCACUCACGCAGCCCGGUGGACUCCAUGCGUGACGCCGUGUUCACCGUGUCCCCGUCCAUGUCCCCAUCCCUGUGUCCCUGUCCCUGUGUCCAUGUCCAUGUCCGUGUGUCUGUCCCCAUGUCCAUGUCCGUGUGUCUGUCCAUGUCCCCAGCCAUGUCCCCGUGUCCGUGUGUCUGUCCAUGUCCCCAUGUCCCCAUCCCUGUGUCCCCAUCCCUGUCCCUGUGUCCAAGUCCAUGUCCGUGUGUCUGUCCCCAUCCCUGUCCCGGUGUCCAUGUCCCCAUGUCCCCGUGUCCCCAUCAGUGUCCCCAUUGGUGUCACACUCACGCAGCCCGGUGGACUCCAUGCGCGACGCCGUGUUCACCGUGUCCCCGAACAGGCAGUACCGCGGCAUCUUCAGCCCCACCACGCCCGCACACACCGGGCCUGGGGACACCUGGGUGUCACCGCUGGGGUGCCACUCCCGUCCCCAUUCCCAUUCCUGUCCCCAUUCCCAUUCCCAUUCCCAUUCCCGUUCCCAAUCCCAUCCCCAUUUCCCAUUCCCAUCCCUGUUCCUGUUCCCACCAGUGUGGAUGCCGAUGCGCAGCUCCAUUUCCCAUUUCCAUUCCCAAUCCCAUUUCCCAUUCCCAUUUCUCCGUUCCCAUCCCCAUCCCCAUUCCCACCAGUGUGGAUACCAAUGCCCAUUCCCCAUCCCCAUUUCCCAGUUCCCAUUCCCAUUCCCAUUUCCCAUUUCCCCAUCCCUGUUCCCAUUCCCAUCCCCAUGACCGUUCUCACCGGUGUGGAUACCAAUGCCCAUUCCCCAUUCCCAUUUCCCAGUUCCCAUUCCAUUUCCCAUCCCUGUCCCCAUCCCCAUUCCCAUUCCUAUUUCCCAAUCCCAUCCCCAUUCCCACCACUGUGGAUUCCCAUCUCCAUUCCCAUUCCCCCAUCCCCGUUCCCAUUCCUGUCCCCAUUUCCCUGUUCCCAUUUCCACCAAUGUGGAUGCCAAUGCCCAUUCCUGUUCCCCAUUCCCAUUUCCCGUACCCAUUCCCAUUCCCAUUCUCAUUCCCGUUCCCAAUUCCGUUCAUCCCCACCGGUGUGGAUGCCAAUGCCCAUUCCCAUUUCUCAUUCCCACCAGUGUGGAUUCCCAUCUCCAUUCCCAUUUCCAAUCCCAUUCCCAUCCCCAUUUCCCCGUUCCCAAUCCCAUUUCCAAUCCCAUUCCCAUCCCCAUUUCCCCAUUCCCAUUUCCCCAUUCCCAUUUCCCCAUUCCCAAUCCCAUUUCCAUCCCCAUUUCCCCGUUCCCAAUCCCAUUUCCAAUCCCAUCCCCAUUUCCCCAUUCCCAAUCCCAUUCCCAUCCCCAUUUCCCCAUUCCCAAUCCCAUUUCUCCCAUUCCCAUUCCCAUUUUUCCCGUUCCCAUUCCCGUUCAUCCCCACCGGUGUNCCACCCAUGGACUCAUUUCAGGGGUCACCUCCCGCCUCAAAAUCCUCUCUGGAUGUCAUCCCUCAUCUGGGGACUCUUUUUGGGGGUCACCUCCCACCCAUGGACCAUUUUAGGGUGUCACCUCACAUCUGGGGGAUCUUUUUCAGGGGUCACCUCCCAGCUGGGGACUCUUUUUGGGAGUCAUCUCCCACCCAUGGACCAUUUUCAGGGGUCAUCUCCCACCCAUGGACCCUUUUCGGGGGUCACCUCCCGCCUCAAAAUCCUCUCUGGAUGUCAUCCCUCAUCUGGGGACCCUUUUUGAGGGUCACCUCCCACCCAUGGACCCUUUUCAGGGGUCACCUCCCACCCCUGGCUCCUUUCUAGGGGUCAUCUCCCACCCAUGGCCUCAUUUCGGGGGUCACCUCCCGCCUCAAAAUUCUCUCUGGAGGUCAUCCCUCAUCUGGGGACUCUUUUUGGGGGUCACCUCUCACCCAUGGACCAUUUUAGGGUGUCACCUCACAUCUGGGGACCUUUUUCAGGGGUCACCUCCCAGCUGGGGACUCUUUUUGGAGGUCAUCUCCCACCCACAGACUCUUUUUGAAGGUUACCUCCCAUCUAGGGACUUUUUGGGGGUCAUCUUCCAUCUCAGGACCCUUUUUGGGAGUCAUCUCCCAUCCAUGGACUCUUUUCAGGGGUCACCUCCCAUCCAUGGACUCUUUUCAGGGGUCACCUCCCACCUCAAAAUCCUCUCUGGAUGUCAUCCCUCAUCCAGGGACCCUUUUUGAGGGUCACCUCCCACCCAGGGACCUUCUCUGGAUGUCACCCCUCAUCUGGGGACCCUUUCCGAUGGUCAUCACCCACCCAGGAACCCUUUUUGGGGGUCACCUCCCACCCAGGGACCCUCUCUGGAUGUCACCCCUCAUCUGGGGACCCUUUCCGAUGGUCACCACCCACCCAGGAACCCUUUUUGAGGGUCACCCCUCACCCAGGGACCCUCUCUGGAGGCCACCCCUCAACUGGGGACUCUUCCUUGGGGUCACCACCUACUCAGGAACCCUCUCUGGAUGCCACCCCUCAUCUGAGGACCCUUUCUGAUGGUCACCACCCACCCAGGGGCCCUCUCCGGGGGUCCCUGGUGGCACCUGUUGAANUGUCCCCAAUGUCCCCACGGUGUCCCCAGGUGUCCCCAGUGUCCCCAUGGUGUCCCCAAUGUCCCCAAUGUCCCCAUGGUGUCCCCAAGUGUCCCCAAGUGUCCCCACAGUGUCCCCAAGUGUCCCCAUGGUGUUCCCACCCGCUCACCCUCCCCGUUGGACUCCAUGCGUGACGCCGUGUUCACGGUGUCCCUGUGGUGUCCCCAAUGUCCCCAAGGUGUCCCCACAGUGUC
ensembl:lncRNA